GGGGUAUAUAGUACAGUGUCACAUCAAAAAGCUAACAAGUAUAGUUCAAAGUACGGAUUUUAACACGAAAUCGCAUGGGCUUACAGCGAAAGGGCAACUAUAAAAGACCCCAAAAUGACAUAUGAACACCAACAAACGACAACGACUGCACAAAAAGCUUUUGACUCUGGUAAUUCCAGACUGUUUAACGUUUUAAUAGACGCCAACAUUUAACAGUAGUAUCACAUAACAACAUAAA
rnacentral:lncRNA from 1 species